AUUGAACGCUGGCGGCAGGCCUAACACAUGCAAGUCGAGCGGAUGAAGGGAGCUUGCUCCUGGAUUCAGCGGCGGACGGGUGAGUAAUGCCUAGGAAUCUGCCUGGUAGUGGGGGAUAACGUCCGGAAACGGGCGCUAAUACCGCAUACGUCCUGAGGUAGAAAGUGGGGGAUCUUCGGACCUCACGCUAUCAGAUGAGCCUAGGUCGGAUUAGCUAGUUGGUGGGGUAAAGGCCUACCAAGGCGACGAUCCGUAACUGGUCUGAGAGGAUGAUCAGUCAGCCUGGAACUGAGACACGGUCCAGACUCCUACGGGAGGAAGCAGUGGGGAAUACUGGACGAGGGGCGAAAGCCUGAUCCAGGCAUGCCGCGUGUGUGAAGAAGGUCUUCGGAUGGGAAAGCACUUUAAGUUGGGAGGAAGGGCAGUAAGUUAAUACCUUGCUGUUUUGACGUUACCAACAGAAUAAGCACCGGCUAACUUCGUG
rnacentral:rRNA from 1 species